GACUUUUUAACUAUAUUUAAGUAUGUAUUUUGAAAAUAUAAAAAAGAAAUUUUCUAAAAGUCU
rnacentral:tRNA from 1 species